AUUGAACGCUGGCGGCAUGCCUUACACAUGCAAGUCGAACGGCAGCACGGGAGCAAUCCUGGUGGCGAGUGGCGAACGGGUGAGUAAUAUAUCGGAACGUGCCCGGGUCGUGGGGGAUAACGUAGCGAAAGCUACGCUAAUACCGCAUACGAUCUACGGAUGAAAGCGGGGGAUCGCAAGACCUCGCGCGAUUGGAGCGGCCGAUAUCAGAUUAGGUAGUUGGUGAGGUAAAGGCUCACCAAGCCGACGAUCUGUAGCUGGUCUGAGAGGACGACCAGCCACACUGGGACUGAGACACGGCCCAGACUCCUACGGGAGGCAGCAGUGGGGAAUUUGGACAAUGGACGCAAGUCUGAUCCAG
rnacentral:rRNA from 1 species